UCCAAUAUGGUUUAGUGGUUAACAAUAAUUCUUCGAACGACAAAAUAAAUAGUCAGGGUUCGAUUCCCUGCCUUGAAA